rnacentral:rRNA from 1 species
UACGUAGGAGGCAAGCGUUGUCCGGAAUUACUGGGCGUAAAGCGCGUGUAGGUGGUGGGACAAGUCUGCUGUGAAAGCGCCUGGCUUAACCGGGCGAGGUCGGCGGAAACUGUCCGACUCGAGGACGGUAGAGGGGGGCGGAAUUCCCGGUGUAGUGGUGAAAUGCGUAGAGAUCGGGAGGAACACCUGUGGCGAAGGCGGCCCCCUGGGCCGGCCCUGACACUGAGGAGCGAAAGCCAGGGGAGCAAACGGG